GACGAACCGUGCGACCGUUGUUCGGAAUCACUGGGCUUAAAGGGAGCGUAGGCGGGCUAUCAAGUCUGGGGUGAAAUGCCGCGGCUCAACCGUGGAACUGCCUCAGAUACUGACGGCCUCGAGGAAGAUAGGGGCAUGCGGAACUGUGAGUGGAGCGGUGAAAUGCGUUGAUAUUCACAGGAACGCCGGUGGCGAAAGCGGCGUGCUGGAUCUUUUCUGACGCUGAGGCUCGAAAGCUAGGGGAGCAAACGGG
rnacentral:rRNA from 1 species